UUAUUUAGUUUUAUAGAGGGAAAAGUGAAUAAAUAUUAUUUAUUAUAUUGUAGAGGGGAGGCUAUAAUAUAAAAUUUAAUAAAAAAUUCAUUUAUUGUACCUUUUGUAUCAGGGUUAAUUUACAUUUAAGUUUAAGAAUUUUUUCUCGACAAAGAAAGAUUUAAAUAGUUAAAGUACUUAUGUUUUAGUAUUAACAGUCUUAAUAAUUAUUUAGUUUUGAAAAAAAUCAAGAUUUCUUUUAUCUAGUUAUUUUUUAAUUGAUUUAAUCAGUUUCAUUUUUGUGAUUUAAUCAUGGGAGUAAAAAAUAUUUUUAGGGAUAAGCUUGAAUUUGAAAUUUUAGCUUCAGGUUUAUAUAAUAAUUUCAUAAGUUUAGAGUUAGCAAUUUUUUUAAUAUUUAAAAAUUAACUUAAUUUUUAUAACGAUUUAAUAGUAGCUUUAAGGGGAAGUAAAGUUACUUAAUUUAGUGUUAAAAUUAAGAUAAUAAUGAUUAAAUUAGUAGAAUAAAAAGUGUGAUUUAAGAAUUCGGCAAAAUUAAUUUUUGACUGUUUAACAAAAACAUUUCUGAGGGGAAAAUGUUUUUGGUAUAACCUGCUCAAUGCUUUUGUUAAUAGCUGCAGUAUUUUGACUGUACAAAGGUAGCAUAAUAAUUAGUCUUUUGAUUGGAGGCUUGUAUGAAUGGUUGAACAGAAUAUUAGCUUUUUUGAUUGCACGAAAUUUUAAUUUAGAGUUUAUGUAAAAAUACAUAAUUAUUUAAAAGGGACGAUAAGACCCUAUAGAAUUUAAGAAUAUAAUUGGAAUCUUAUUCUUUUGUUGGGGUGACAACAAAUAAACUUUUGGGCAAGUUUCAUUGAUGAAUGAUUUUAUGAUCCUUUGUUUUAUAGAUAAAAAGAUAAAAUUACCUUAGGGAUAACAGCAUAAUUUUUUUUAAAAGAUCAUAUUAAUGAAAAAGAUUAUGACCUCGAUGUUGAAUUAAAAUAAAAUUUUGGUGUAGAAGCUUAAAUUUUUAGUCUGUUCGACUUUAUAUUUUACAUGAUUUGAGUUCAGACCGGCGUGAGCCAGGUUGGUUUCUAUCUUUUUAAUUGGGUUUUAUUAUUUAGUACGAAAGGACCAGUCAUAAUAAUUUCUAUUGUAGUCGCUGAGUAAAAUUAACAUUAAUC
rnacentral:rRNA from 1 species